CGGCAACAGCUCAAAUUUGAAAUCUGGCCCUCUCAGGGUCCGAGUUGUAAUUUAGAGAGGCGUUUUCCGCGUCGGACCACGUACAAGUCUCCUGGGAUGGAGCGUCACAGAGGGUGAGAAUCCCGUUCGUGCCGUGGACUACCGUAUGCUAUGUGAUGCGCCCUCGAA
rnacentral:rRNA from 1 species